AGACCCGAAACCCGGUGAUCUAGCCAUGGGCAGGUUGAAGGUUGGGUAACACUAACUGGAGGACCGAACCGACUAAUGUUGAAAAAUUAGCGGAUGACCUGUGGCUGGGGGUGAAAGGCCAAUCAAACCGGGAGAUAGCUGGUUCUCCCCGAAAGCUAUUUAGGUAGCGCCUCGUGAAUUCAUCUCCGGGGGUAGAGCACUGUUUCGGCCAGGGGGCCAUCCCGGCUUACCAACCCGAUGCAAACUGCGAAUACCGGAGAAUGUUAUCACGGGAGACACACGGCGGGUGCUAACGUCCGUCGUGAAGAGGGAAACAACCCAGACCGCCAGCUAAGGUCCCAAAGUCAUGGUUAAGUGGGAAACGAUGUGGGAAGGCCCAGACAGCCAGGAUGUUGGCUUAGAAGCAGCCAUCAUUUAAAGAAAGCGUAAUAGCUCACUGGUCGAGUCGGCCUGCGCGGAAGAUGUAACGGGGCUAAACCAUGCACCGAAGCUGCGGCAGCGACACUGUGUGUUGUUGGGUAGGGGAGCGUUCUGUAAGCCUGUGAAGGUGGCCUGUGAGGGUUGCUGGAGGUAUCAGAAGUGCGAAUGCUGACAUAAGUAACGAUAAAGCGGGUGAAAAGCCCGCUCGCCGGAAGACCAAGGGUUCCUGUCCAACGUUAAUCGGGGCAGGGUGAGUCGACCCCUAAGGCGAGGCCGAAAGGCGUAGUCGAUGGGAAACGGGUUAAUAUUCCCGUACUUGGUGUUACUGCGAAGGGGGGACGGAGAAGGCUAUGUUGGCCGGGCGACGGUUGUCCCGGUUUAAGCGUGUAGGUGUGUGUUCCAGGUAAAUCCGGUUCACUUUAACACUGAGGCGUGA
rnacentral:rRNA from 1 species